UACGGAGGGGGCUAGCGUUGUUCGGAAUUACUGGGCGUAAAGCGCACGUAGGCGGCUUUGUAAGUUAGAGGUGAAAGCCCGGAGCUCAACUCCGGAACUGCCUUUAAGACUGCAUCGCUUGAAUCAUGGAGAGGUCAGUGGAAUUCCGAGUGUAGAGGUGAAAUUCGUAGAUAUUCGGAAGAACACCGGUGGCGAAGGCGACUGACUGGACAUGAAUUGACGCUGAGGUGCGAAAGCGUGGGGAGCAAACAGG
rnacentral:rRNA from 1 species